AACGAACGCUGGCGGCAUGCCUAACACAUGCAAGUCGAACGAGACCUUCGGGUCUAGUGGCGCACGGGUGCGUAACGCGUGGGAACCUGCCUUUAGGUUCGGAAUAACUCAGAGAAAUUUGAGCUAAUACCGGAUGAUGUCUUCGGACCAAAGAUUUAUCGCCUUUAGAUGGGCCCGCGUUGGAUUUGCUAGUUGGUGGGGUAAAGGCCUACCACGGCGACGAUCCAUAGCUGGUCUGAGAGGAUGAUCAGCCACACUGGGACUGAGACACGGCCCAGACUCCUACGGGAGGCAGCAGGGGGGAAUAUUGGAAAAGGGGCGAAAGCCUGAUCCAGCAAUGCCGCGUGAGUGAUGAAGGCCUUAGGGUUGUAAAGCUCUUUUACCCGAGAUGAUAAUGACAGUAUCGGGAGAAUAAGCUCCGGCUAACUCCGUG
rnacentral:rRNA from 1 species